rnacentral:tRNA from 1 species
GCUCGGGAUAGCCCGCGGGCAGCGGAUUUUCGAUGUCGGCGGGGGCGACGAGCAGCGCCGCGCGGAUCGUCCGCGUCGGGGCG